CCUACGGGCGGCUGCAGUGAGGAAUAUUGGUCAAUGGGCUUACGCCUGAACCAGCCAAGUCGCGUGAGGGAAGACUGCCCUAUGGGUUGUAAACCUCUUUUGUCAGGGAGCAACGCCGGCUACGUGUAGCCGGACUGAGAGUACCUGAAGAAAAAGCAUCGGCUAACUCCGUGCCAGCAGCCGCGGUAAUACGGAGGAUGCGAGCGUUAUCCGGAUUGAUUGGGUUUAAAGGGUGCGUAGGCGGAAUGCCAAGUCAGCGGUAAAAUCGCGGGGCUCAACCUCGCUCCGCCGUUGAAACUGGCGUUCUUGAGGGGGCGAGAAGUAUGCGGAAUGCGUGGUGUAGCGGUGAAAUGCAUAGAGAUCACGCAGAACUCCGAUUGCGAAGGCAGCAUACCGGCGCCCAACUGACGCUGAAGCACGAAAGCGUGGGUAUCGAACAGGAUUAGAUACCCCAGUAGUC
rnacentral:rRNA from 1 species